rnacentral:rRNA from 1 species
AGCUCAAAUUUGAAAUCUGGCUCUCGGGCCCGAGUUGUAAUUUGUAGAGGAUGCUUUUGAUGCGGUGCCUUCCGAGUUCCCUGGAACGGGACGCCAUAGAGGGUGAGAGCCC